rnacentral:tRNA from 1 species
GAGGGUAUGGCUUAGUGGUAGAGCACAUGCCUAGCGUGCACAAGGUCGUGGGUUCAAUUCCCAGUACCUCCA